GGCCCCCCAAACAACACCUGCUCAGCCCGACAGAAGCUCUACACUACCUAGAGAACAAGCUAUGUAAAGAUAGGGACAUCCUGCAAUCCAGACUUCUCCGUGCCUUCUCUGACAAGCCGGAGCAAUAUGGUUGGGAAACCGGGAAGCAGAGUCUCAGCACCCAAACAGAGAGGAGCACAGGUAAUGCAGAGCUCCGAGGGACAUGGCAGCAGUGAGAGCUCUGAGAUUCCAGUUCACAGUUCACUCCUCCCUCACCUUCUGAGGCUACAAGUAAGAGAUCAAGAUGUCAGCCAGGCCACGUUCCCUCUGUGAGUGGCAAGGUGAGAUCUGACCCAGGCUUUUCUGCUGGCUUCUAGUAAGUCCUUGAUUUGAGGCAGCAUGGAUCCUAGUCCUCACAUGAAAACAAUGUUCAACGUUAUCGGCCGUAGAGAAAUUCAAACUACAACAAUGCAAAGAUUCCAUCUGACAGCAGAAAGAAUAGCAGUCGUCGAGAAGUCAAAGAAUAGCAGAGGCUGGUAAUGGCUUUGGUGAAUCCUCCUACAUUGUUGGUGGGAAUGAAUGUAAACCUUAUGUACUAGAAACACUAACAAAACAAUUUUAAAAAUAUCCCCAGGACUUUUGAAGCUUCUCAGAUACAAUUAGCUUGUCUUAGCCCAAGGAAAAGGUUAUAGGAGACUCCCUUUAAUCUUUACUUUGUAGAAAUAGAAAUUUUCUUGGCAGAGAAAACAUAUACAAUCAGGUUGAAUAAAAAGGGAAAAAUUACCUAAGGUCCUGGAUAAAAGUUUUUGUA